rnacentral:rRNA from 1 species
CAAAGAUUAAGCCAUGCAUGUCUAAGCAUGCGCUGAAGUAAAGUGAAGCCGCGAAUAGCUCAUUAUAACAGCCGUUGUUUCUUGGAUCUCUUCUCUACUUGGAUAACUGUGGUAAUUCUAGAGCUAAUACAUGCCUUGUAGCUCGGAUCGCAAGUGAUGAGCGCAUUUAUUAGAUCAAAACCAUCCGGCUUCGGCCGUGUUUUGAUGACUCUGAAUAACCCAGCAGAUCACAUGGGCUCGUCCCGGUGACAAAUCUUUCAAGUGUCUGCCUUAUCAACUUUCGAUGGUAGUUCAUGUGACUACCAUGGUUGUGACGGGUAACGGAGGAUCAGGGUCUGACUCCGGAGAGGGAGCCUGAGAAACGGCUACCACUUCUAAGGAAGGCAGCAGGCGCGCAAAUUACCCAUUCUCAGUACGAGGAGGUAGUGACGAAAAAUACCAAGGUGAGGCCCUAUGGGUUUCGCCAUUGGAAUGAGAACAAUAUAAAUCUUU